rnacentral:lncRNA from 1 species
CAAGAGAUGAUGAACGGUGAUGACCUUUCAUCCAUUGCGCUGGAGCUUCGAACAGGAAGGACCUGUCCAUGCAAACCUCGUAUCUGGAAUGUCAACUUUCAAGGGGCCAACUCAGAAGCUAUGCUUGGUGACUCUAAGGCUGCUCCCAUCCGUGUGCAGCGGAUCAGCCCCCAGGCUCCGCAGUUGCGCUGGUAGGUUUUCUGUGGCCGGUCACUCGGAAAGGGAAGAGUUUGAAGAAAUUCUGGAGUAGGAUUUGACUGUAAGUUUGUAACAAGCAUGCGACAUGAACAUGAACCGACUGUACCUGUACCCUGUACAUAACACCUCAAAGUUUUAGCUACAAACACAACUCACUUUCACUGUAAGAUCAGUUGUCACAACGCCGUCUCUUUUUUUUUUUGGCGACACCAUCUCCGGUUUGAAGUUGUGUUAACACCAGUAUCAGUAUUCAGUAGUACUCCCUCCGUCCGGAAAAGCUUGUCCCUCAAAUGGAUAUAUCUAGCACCAAGUUAGUGCUAGAUACAUCCAUUUGAGAGACAAGCUUGGGACAAGUUUUUCCGGACGGAGGGAGUAUCACCUGAGAGUUUGUAUGAGUUCCUGGUUCCCCACUACUUCCUCUAUUCACUAAUAUAAGAUGUUCUAAUUCUUUUCUGAAUAGGAUGUAUAUAGACAUGUUUUAGUGUGUGUGUUCACUCAUUUCAGUCUGUAUGCAGUCUUUGAAAUAUCUAAAACAUCAUAUAUUUGUGAACAGGGGGAGUACUAUGGAAGCAACUUAUUUCCCCACAACAUAUGGUGCCUUUGUUCCACCAAAUUUCCUCUGUUGCUCUUUUAAUUUGACACCAAGUCCAGUUCCCUGUCCUUUUCAGUUAUUGCCGUCUGAGUUUUAUACUGAAUUGAAAUGGUGUGUCGUUUAACUGGUAUUGGUUUCACACUAUUUUAGCCAUGUUUCACUGAUUUUACUUUAGUUAAUCUUUGUUCCAAUCUGGCAUAACAACUUGCAUGCAUACACAGCGAUCACCAUAUAUCACAAAAAUCAUGACAUAUCAUAGAUCCAUGAGUUAAAUUACGAUCAGAUGGCACAUCGAUCCAUCUGUGAAACUAAAAAAAAAUUGCACAAAAAAACCUGCAUCAACUACGCAACAAUAAAAAAUGAAAUAUUCAACUACACAGUAAACAAUUUCUCCUCUGCAUCAACUACACACAUCAACAAGAAAAGCAAUUAUAUGAGCAUACAGAUGAACAAGAGCAAUGAACAGUACCAAAUGAACUACACAAUCGACACAACGAAAACUUGUAUCGACUAUGCCACCAAGAUUUGGACGACCAUACAACAAUUACAUGAGCAAAGCCAAGUCCACCCAAUACCCGCUUUGCAGUCCACGUAAAAUUCAAAAAAUUAGACCAAGUCACUGUUAGGGCCUAGUCACUAUUGUGGGAAAGCGACGAGCGCAACGAGCGGAUUUGUUACCAUCUAUAUGAUCUUAGUUGCGGUAGCAUUGAUCAACAACGCAUUGAUGCGAGGGCUUGAUGAUGUUGUGGUAAUCGGCUUUCCCCCUUACUUUGUGAAUGCGUUAGAAGCUACGUGCUCGGCUCUUCCUCCACCAAACCCUAACCUCAUUGGAACUCGCCAACCUUGAAAUUUGAACUUUAAGUGUAGGUUUUAGAAGCUUAUGUACUCCCUCCGUCCCAAAAUUCUUGUCUUAGAUUCGUCUAGAUACGGAUGUAUCUAAUACUAAAACGUGAUUUGAUAUAUUUGUAUUUAGACAAAUCUAAGACAAGAAUUUUGGGACGGAGGGAGUAUAUUUGAAUAUUCGUACCAUUAUUAGCUCACUAAUUCUGCAUGCCCCCCUCACUAGCAAGAAAGUCACUACGUGCAUUUCAUUUUACUCGACCAACAAGUUAAAAAAAAAAUAGCCUGACUACCAGUGAUGAAGUUCGGGUUCAGAGCAGGAAAGCGGGUAUACCGGGGCUCCACCUGCCAGCAACCGACUCGUCACGACUCGGCGCCCACCGCCGCCGAGCACAAAUCGGUCGAGCGGGCGACGCCGACGCCGACGCGGACGACCCCGCCGACGAGUCCCCGCCUUCCAUUUCCUCCCCCGCGCACGCGGGAGGGAGCCCGGCUCCCCAACCGCCCGGGUCCCAUCGGAUCGGCCCCCUUCCAGUCGCGCUCCCCUGCUCCCAGAUCCUUCUAGAACCCUCCAGAUCCUCGGGGAGCCAGCGCUCGGGGCGGCGAGAUCUCUGCCCGGCAUGGACAAGUCCAGCGCCCUCGAGUACAUCAACCAGAUGUUCCCCACCGGUACGCCCGCCGCUCGAAUUCGAUUCCCGUUUCCUCGGCUAGGCUGCUCGCUCGCGAUGCUGCUGCUGCGGCGGCGGCAAUGCGCUCGUUUCGAGCUUCGCUGUCCCGAGAUUUAGCAUUGGCUGCUCGAGGAUUAUAGGGUUUACAGCUUGCGUUUGUUCUUCUGCGGCUUGGCAGAGGCGUCGCUGUCGGGGGUCGAGCCGCUGAUGCAGAAGAUUCAGAGCGAGAUUCGCCGGGUGGACGCCAGCAUCCUCGCCGCCGUCCGACAGCAGGUUCGGGCUCGUUAUCUCGUGAUCCAUUUGUAGCAGUGUUGUGGUUCGCAAUAUCCACGCUCUUUGCAUUUAGAACUGAUGUGUUAUGUACUUUGGUACGAGGAAGUAGUGUGGUAUUAUGAUGAUGCAAUUGCAGUGAAUUUACUUUGAAUAUGCUCCAGAAUUGUUUGGUAUUUGCUUAUUGUUGCUUAUGGUUAUACUAUAUCUGAUAACGGGAAGAUAUUGCUACUCCACAGAGUAACUCGGGAACCAAGGCCAAGGAAGAACUUGCUGCAGCCACAAAUGCUGUUCAGGUUAUACUUCCCCCUUUCUGUAUGAUUUGCAUUUUGCCCACAAUGAACUUACUCGAUAAUCGAUUGAGUGGCAAGUCUUACUAAGCUGUAGUUGGAUUAGCUCUGGAAAGGGUAGGAUGUCUAUUUAGGGGAAAAGGGUAGGAUGUUAAUCAGGUACUGGAGUGAAUACUUUAUGGAAUGAUUGGAGUUUAACUUUGCUCUGUACUAACAGGAACUAAUGUAUAAGAUACGUGAAAUAAAAACGAAGGCUGAACAAAGUGAAACAAUGGUUCAAGAAAUCUGCCGGGACAUAAAGAAGUUGGAUUGCGCCAAGAGGCAUAUAACAACUACAAUAACGGCUCUUCACCGCCUUACUAUGCUUGGUUAGUUUCUUUACUUCCCUUUAUUUGGAGUACGCGCUACUGUGCUUAAAAAGAAAUGUUCAGCAGAAAAAAUACAUCUACCUAAGCUAAUUCAUAAUGUGCAUAUGUCAUGUCCAGUUUCUGCUGUCGAGCAACUUCAGGUCAUGGCCUCAAAGCGUCAGUACAAAGAAGCAGCUGCACAACUCGAGGUAAGCGUGUAGGACACAUUAAUCGGCGAUACAUCUGCAAACUUUCUAGCGUUGAUCUCCAUGCUACCUCUUACUGUAACCAUUUUGAAUUGGCAUGCUGGUGCUUUUAUUUGUGUGCAUAUGUUAUUCAGGAAAGUUCAUUACCCUUUUUUCCCUUCAGGCAGUGAACCAGCUGUGCAGUCAUUUUGAAGCCUAUCGGGAUGUGCCAAAAAUAUCAGAGCUCAGAGAGAAACUCAAGAACAUCAAGAAAAUCCUCAAAUCUCAUGUAUAUUCAGAUUUUACAAGGUACACAACAAAUGAACUUUGUUUUGUCCUUGGUAGCAACACUAUCUGGAGUAGUAAACCAGUCAGGUACUGCAAGUAAGAUCAAUGCAAAUGACAGUUAAUCCCUGAGUAAGCUAGAAACAGGUGUCCAAACUUGGGAAGUGGCACCUUUUCAUUUCCUCGUCAUUUUUCAAGUAUUAUCACUCAAUGAGUGAGGUUUUAUCAGCGGCUAUAGUUCGAAUCCAGUGAAUAGCAAAUAACUUGAUUGAAAAAGCCAUAAAAAUUUAUAUUCCCUAAAUAGGCUACUUUAUCAAAUACUUUCCCUGCUGGACCGGCAGUUUGGGAAUCCUGACUAUUUCAUGCCUGAGAAAUGGGAACACAUUGAAGCACUGCCAAAGUUGUACUCCCUCUAUCUCAAAAUAAGUGUCUUCGAUUUAGUACAACUUUAGUACAAAAUUGUACUAAAUCAAAGACACUUAUUUUUAGAUGGAGGGAGUAUUUAUUAACCAACUAUUUUGUUUGCUAUAUAAUUCAAACUAUGAAACAGAUCCACAAAUUAGUAUAACUUUGCAGCUUAGGGACUGGGAAGGAAACAGAAGAUGAGGAUCUAUUGCAGCAGCUAUCUGAUGCUUGUUUGGUGGUUGAUGCUCUGGAACCGUCCGUGAGGGAAGAACUAGUAAAGAAUUUUUGCAGCAAGGAGCUUAUCUCGUAUAAGCAGAUCUUUGACGGAGCAGGUCAAAACCUUGUAUAUGUUACAUACAUCAGUUGUCUAGUUCACUUUAUUACAAAUGUGUGUACAUGUUGCUCCAUUAUUAUUCUGAUGCUUCUUUGGGGGAACAGAAUUGGCCAAGUUAGACAAGACUGAAAGGAGAUAUGCAUGGAUUAAGCGUCGAUUGCGGUCAAAUGAAGAUACCUGGAAAAUAUUUCCACCUUCCUGGCAUGUUGAUUAUCUGUUGUGUAUCCAGUUCUGCAAGAUUACAAGGUUUGAUUUUGCUUCUCCACUUUUGCAUUUUAUGAACUUCCUACUUUUCUUCGCCAAGCACGGAGUUUUACAUAGAACUAAAGCAACCAUCACUUAACUUAGUUUACAUCCUCUUUUAUGCAUCAUGUCACUAAUUAUAUUUGACCAUUCAGAUGUCAGAUCAAUUAUUAUCUUCUGCUGGACGAAUUAGUUUACUGGUAACAAAUUGCUUCUUUUCCAGGACCCAACUUGUCGAUAUCCUGAAUAAUCUCAAAGAAAAGCCAGAUGUUGCAACUUUAUUAUUGGUAAGUUGCUUGUUAUUUCUUGGAAGUAUGGGUGACAGAUGGGAAUUACUAUGUGCCCUUUGUCUUACCAUUUUGUGCAGACGACUGAUACCUAUAUCAUAUCAAAUCAUUUUAUCUUUUGGAUGAUUUUUCUAUUGGUUUCAUCUUGCUUCUGGUAUAUUGUUAGAUUUCUGUUGGUUUUAAUGCGACAAAUAUCAAUGAAGUAACGGAAUUAUGUACAACAUAAUGCAUUAAUGCCGUAGCAGCUUAUAUCUUGGAUUAUGAGCUGUGUCAUACUACAUAUGUCGAAUGUUUUAACUGAGUGUGCAAUCAUUCAUUUACGAUAUGGAACUUCUGCGCCAAACACUCUGCGAUUCGUGCAAUGCAGGCGUUGCAAAGAACCCUUGAAUUUGAGGAAGAACUGGCUGAGAAAUUCAGUGGAGGAACCACGACUGCUCGGAAUAGAGAGCUGGAAAGUGAUGAUGAAAAUGAGGGUACGGAACACAAUAAAAUUGUUUCAGAUAUACGGAAGAAAUACGAGAAGAAACUGGGAGUGCCCAAUGAUGAAGCUGAACAAGUAUUUGCUGCUUACUUGCUUAGUCUCAACUGUUUUCUUCCUCUGUUGAUAUUUUCUUUCCAACUCUUCUGCAAUUCUUUACUGGCAGGACAAAGAGAAGCAGAAAGAUUUGUCAGUUCCUGGUGCUGGGGUUAGUAGUUUAUCAACUAUGGGCCAGUGCAUGUUUAUUACUUCUUUGAAUUACGAGCUAUGUGUCAUAUACUCAUAUAUAUCAUAUUUUGCUCUGUACUCUGGCAGUUCAACUUUCAUGGGAUUAUAUCAUCUUGUUUUGAGCCAUACAUGGCUGUGUACAUAGAACUAGAGGAGAAAUCUUUGGUCGAACAAUUAGAUAAACUUAUCCAGGUACGCUAGACAAGUAUAGACAUACUUAAAAGUUUGAACUCUUGGUGUUUGAGCCUGCUUAGCUUGAUUUCGCCCUUCUAUGCUGGCAGGAAGAAAAAUGGGAAAUUGAGGAAGGGAGUCAAACAAACAUUCUAUCAAGCAGCAUGCAGGUAUGGGAAAUAAUUCUUGCUACUUCGAAAUCUUGUUUCUGGCAAAUUUACUACAUGUGACUGAUAGCAAAUAGCAAUUCAAGAUUGGUCAAAACUUUGCCGGUGUGCUAUAACUAUGUUUGUUUUUCCUGAAGCCGUCCGUAGCAGAUCUCAUGUGCAAAUCUGCAUUUGAUGGUCCACAACAUAUUUCAAAACAUUAUGUUAAUCUGCUUUGCAAUUUCUCUUAUGCAGGUGUUCUUGGUAAUUAGAAGAAGCUUAAAGAGGUGCAGUGCAUUGACAAAGAACCAAACAUUAUUCAACUUGUUUCAGGUAUACAGUGUUUCCAGAUUUUGUUAACAGUUUUCCUUUGUAUGGAUAAUUCCAUGUUCUUUCCAAAUGUUAUGCCUUCAUGCAUACUGUUUGCGCACCUCUCAGAUUUUCUUUAAUUUUCCAAUUCCAUCGACUUUCUCCAUAUGUGAUUAUUGAGCAUUUUGUUUUGCUAUGUAUAAUGAUGCUUGAUCCAGGUGUGCUAAAAUUUAAUAUGGACUCGACAUUAGGUGAUUUGGCAUUUCCAUCACCGAAAAUUGCUGCAUAUGGAGAACCAUAUAUGUUUCCUUGCAAUGUCUAAUGUUGAUUCUUAUCCACCGUUCAAUUGUUAAAAAGAGUAUAGGACAGGUAUCAUCCUACAGAACAAGAAUGCGCCAUGAAAUAACCUUGAAUAAUCAACCAUAUGGUUCAACUGAACACACGUUUAUUAGUUCAGCGACUAUGGUUCUGUCUGCCGAUUUUAUAAGUUAUCACAUCUGAUAAAUUUAAACAGAUUCAUUGAUGAUGAAAUACAUUUGUUUUUAGGUAUUUCAAAGAAUACUUAAGGCCUAUGCAGCAAAAUUAUAUGCCAGGUUGCCAAAAGGUGGUACUGGCAUUGUUGCAGCUGCUACUGGUACCGACGGGCAGAUCAGGGUAUGACAAUCAUCAUUGCACCGGUUGCUUUUCGAUCACUUGUUUUCCUCAUCUGGUAACAGCAUUUUAUGUUCUGUGGGCACUGCAGACCUCUGACAGGGACGAGAAAAUGAUAUGUUACAUUGUAAAUACCGCAGAAUAUUGUCACCAAACGGUAAGUUUUCUUUCUAUUAAGCCAUAGCUGGUAGGUGUAGAAGAAAACAGAAAUAAAUUACUGUCCACGACAAGAAUUAUGGAACUUGCUUGGAGAGACAGAAACAACAUGUUCGGACUAAAUAAAUUCUAGGUUUAUGCAUUCAAGUAGUAGCGUUCUAUUCUCCAGUAAAUGUUUACAGUUCUGCUGUUCACCAAAACGUUUCUUCCCCUUCUGGGGAAAGUUAGCUAUGUGUCAUAAAUUAUUACCGCACUUCAAAAAAAAAAACCCACUGCAAACAAGUGUGUAACACAUGCUGCCAACAUUGGUUACUUUUGGAAUCGAACCCCUGCAUAUUUUCAGUUACCUAGCCCUUCUCCACAGUUCUCCAAGCGUACCAUGUUGUGAUGCCCAUAGCAUAACACCUGGCACUUUUCCAGUCCCUCGUCAUAAGACCCAGCCACCAUGCAUUUCACAUCGGAAAGCUGGCAUUGGAAGUGGGUGGCACCAGAGAUGGGCCGCACAGUGCUUCCUGGGUGAAAGUCCCUUCAAUAGCUUUACGUUUCUUGAUUAAAAAAAGAUGGUAUACUAUUCUGAUUGCAAUUGAGCAAAAAACGGCAUCAUAUAUGCUGGUUUGUCAGCAUAGCUGGCCUGUUGUCAGUCUCGGUGCAAAGUUGGUUGGAGGAGAGGGAAGCUUAGUACGGAGCAGCAUGUACCUAAUCUUUCCUUAUGUCUGUGCUUGCAUGUGUGUGAUGCCUCUGUAUGCUCAUGUGAAUUAACUUUCUCUGUAAAUUUGGCAGUCUGGUGAGCUAGCUGAGAAUGUUGCUAAGAUAAUUAGUUCUCAGUUUUCUGACAAGGUGGACGUGUCUGACGUUCAGGUGACUGAUCUUUCUGUUUUAUUCUUCUUUCUACCUAAUUCUAAUAUCACUAUUAGAUUUCUAGGAAAUAUCUUAAUACUUCAAUGCUUGCAGGAUGAAUUCUCAGCUGUGAUCACAAAAGCAUUGAUGACACUUGUGCAUGGCGUAGAAACCAAAUUUGACGCUGAAAUGGUUGCAAUGACUCGCGUUCCAUGGUCGACUCUUGAAAGUGUCGGCGAUCAAUCCGAGUAGGAUUUUGCCAAAUCCCCUUUAUAGCACACCCCCCACUAAUAUUUGAAAGUAAUAUGAAGUUAUGCUAAGCCACUCACUGCCCCAUGGCCUAUAUUUCAUGGGCUGUGAAAAAUGUAUCUGUUCCAUAAAAUUGCAAUGAUGUCACAUAUCUCAUAGCUGAUGUAGUUGGUUUUCUCUGACUGAAAAGAAGAGGAUAUUUGAUAUGAACUGCCAAUUGGGGUCUGUAUUAUGGGAAGCGGCAUGCCGUUACUUGUAAAGAGAUGCAUAUACACCAACUCUCAUGGCAGAAGCAUGGAUGCAGAAUUUGCAUGCAAUCCCCUAAAAUUCGAAGUUAUCGCCCCAUCGAGUUUUUCUAAAUAGUCCAACCAAUGGCUCAUGCUAAAACUAGCACACUCGAGCACAAAUAUGUUUGCACUACAUAUUUAUUGUCAUAAAAAUCAGUUCAUUGAAAGUUUGGAACGCUGUAUUCUUCAGUUUAUUCAACUUUAUAAAUAACUGCUAAGUGGUUUCACUGAGUUUUUCCCUACUCUAUUUGAAGCUAAGUUUUACAUUGUUCCAUUCCAGGUACGUGAAUUGUAUCAGCUCUAUUUUGUCCAGUACCGUUCCUGCGCUAGGUAGCCUGCUUUCACCUACUUACUUCCAGUAUUUCCUCGACAAAGUAAGUUCAGCAUUUUCUUUAUUAUAGAUAAAACCUUGUAGGUCCUUAUCACUUGUUUUUCUAUCAACGUUGUUUAUUAUACCUUUUUCAUUGUUGUGCUGCAGCUGGCUGCCUCGCUUGGUCCUCGGUUUUAUCUCAAUAUAUACAAGUGCAAGCACAUAUCGGAAACUGGUGCACAGCAGGUGCGUAUGAAUUUAAAAAAGCUAUUUAGUACUACUAUUUAGCACAGAUUUCAUCACUUUGCAUUGUUUCUUCAGAUGCUUUUGGAUACUCAAGCGGUUAAGACUGUUCUAUUGGACAUCCCAGCUCUUGGGAAACAGGUAACCUUGUCUUGCCAGAACAAAAUCAUCACGCCAUACUGCAUAGCCUACGUAUUUUCAGUUAACAGUGACUGGUUUAGGAAACCAGCCAGGUGGAGUAGUAAUUAUUUUGUACUAAGUCUUCAUUGAAUCUUUGAAAGAAAUUGGCCAUGCAAAUAGUAAAAUAUGUUUAGAAUUGUUCAAAUUCAAAAUGUUACUCAAAGAAGGUUGGCAGCCAAUGAGUGCAAUGAAUUUGCUUUGUUGGCUUCACAAGGCAGCAUAUUUGCACUUUAUACUUGGUUGCAAAAAGACUUUUUUUUUG